rnacentral:tRNA from 1 species
CGGUCAGUAGCUCAGUUGGCUAGAGCACGUGACUCUUAAUCUCGGGGUCGAGGGUUCGAGCCCCUCCUGACCGA